rnacentral:lncRNA from 11 species
UGGAAACCUUACAAGAAAGCUCGCUUCCCCAAGAUUUCCAGGCACGCUUCGCAGAAAGUGGACCCACGUGAGACUUGCAGGCAGAACUGAUGAAAGAGCAG